rnacentral:rRNA from 1 species
UACGGAGGGUGCAAGCGUUAUCCGGAUUCACUGGGUUUAAAGGGUGCGUAGGCGGCCUUCUAAGUCAGACGUGAAAUCCCCCGGCUUAACCUGGGAACUGCGUCUGAUACUGGAGGGCUUGAGUGCGGGAGAGGGAUGUGGAAUUCCAGGUGUAGCGGUGAAAUGCGUAGAUAUCUGGAGGAACACCGGUGGCGAAGGCGGCAUCCUGGACCGACACUGACGCUGAGGCGCGAAAGCUAGGGUAGCAAACGGG